GGCAACCGGCUCAGGACCCCUUCCACACUGUGGAAGCUUUGUUCUUUCGCUCUGUGCAAUAGAUCUUGCUACUGCGCACUCUUUGGGUCCACACUGCUUUUAUGAGCUGUGACACUCACCGCGAAGGUCUGCAGCUUCACUCCUGAAGCCAGCGAGACCACGAGCCCACCGGGAGGAACGAACAACUCCAGACGCGCCUCCUUAAGAGCUGUAACACUCACCGCGAAGGUCUGCAGCUUCACUCCUGAGCCAGCGAGACCACGAACCCACCAGAAGGAAGAAACUCCGAACACAUCCAAACACCAGAAGGAACAAACUCCAGACGCGCCGCCUUAAGAACUGUAACACUCACCGCGAGGGUCCGCAGCUUCAUUCCUGAAGUCAGUGAGACCAAGAACCCACCAAUUCCGGACACAGUAGUGCCUGAUGGGUACUAGCAGCCCACCCCAGCCAGAUGGAGGACAAGGCCUCUCCAAGUCUCAAGGAAAUGCACAAUCCUUCCUUACCUCUGGCCUCAGAAAUCUCAGCAUCUCAUUGAUUAGCAACCUCGUCUGUGGCAAAUCUAAGGUUCAGAGGAAAAAGAACAGAUUUGCGGCCCAGCUCGGUGGCUCAUGCCUGUAAUCCCAGCACUUUGGGAGGCUGAGGUGGGCGGAUCACCUGAGGUCAGGAGUUCGAGACCAGCCUGACCAACAUGGAGAAACCCCGUGUCUACUAAAAAUACAAAAAAAAAUCAGCCAGGCGUGGGGGCGCAUGCCUGUAAUCCCAGCUACUCGGGAGGCUGAGGCAGGAGAAUUGCUUGAACCUGGGAGGCGGAGGUUGUGGUGCCAGCCUGGGCAGCAAGAGCAAAACUCCAUCUCAAAAAAACAAACAAAGAAACAAACAAAAAAGAACAGAUUUGCUUUUUUCUUGGUAAAGAAAAGUGUCUUGAAUUCACUCUGUAGAAAUUUAAAACUGCUUGAUGUUUUAGUGAUCAAAAUAAAAUUAUCAAAGCUAAAA